AUCUUAUGUUUGCAACAAAUAGCUGCGUGCAGAAUAAUGCCGCUGUCAGCAAGAGGGGUAUCCACAGAUAGCACCAAGCAUCCUGUCUUCUAAAUGUGAACGCUGACAUGUUGUGGCACUAGCCACACAAGUGUUUAAAUAAACACUCCCUUUAGUUAAAAUGCCUGGCCAGGUAACUUCUUAAUUAUUGUAUCUAUUUAAUUAAGGAUUCCCCUUUAAGAAGGCUGAACUCCCAUGAGCCUUUGUUCUUUUUUAAACAGGUAGAGGGUGGAAGGGAGGCAGGUUUUGUGUUCUGGGUUCCUCCAUUUUGUGUAUGGCGGUGUGGUUUGUGUGCAGGUUCUGAAUGGGUUCCAGUUGGCUUUCAGGAUUUUAUUUACAAGAAAAUUAUAUUAAAUAAGAACUAUACCUACCUUGGAGCAUCUCUUGGACAACUUGUUGCUGUUGGACUGCCACUGGAACUACAGAAUAAGCAUCAACAAACAAACAAACAGUCAGGUCUGUGAGGAUGAGAAGGUCUCCACAGUCUGGAGUCUGGUCUCUGACAGGCUCAACAUACCUGUCAAUCAACAGGGACUCCUCUACAAAGGCAAGGCGCUGGCAGGUGAUGAAGUGACACUUUGAAUAUGGGGCCUGAUGAGAGAAGUAUCCUUUUCAUGUGGUUUUGGUUUUGCCGUUGUGAGCAGGUGUGGGAGACAGCACCGUGUCUGCAUGUGAAAUAACAAAGUCAUCGCAGUGGAGGGACUCUCUGAAGGCUGCUGUUUGUGGAUUUGUCUUUUAAUAAAAUGGAUGGAGACAAUCAGCUCUAGCAUGUGGUUCAGUCACUGAAGAGGAGGAGGGCCCUGACUGAGGAAGAGAUCGAGGGCAUGUACGCCAUGGAGGAGGACCUCCCUGAUGAAGAGCUGCUGCAGGAGGAUGAGGAGGAGGAGGAGAGUGAUCUGGAGGAGCCCCAGUCCAGCACUUCAACUGCAGGGUAGUUUUGAUAAUAAAUAUAUACAGCACAAUAUGGAAGGUUUUAUUUUUUUUGUCUCCCUCCCUCCCAAAUAAAAUUCUUAAUUUCAAAAGUUUUAUUUGUAAUAUACUUUUUUUUUUAAAUAAAAAAAAUUAAACAUUUUACUUGAUAACUUGUGUGUUGUUUCUUUAUUUUUGUACUGAAAUAUAA